CGUUUCUGCAGGUUUCACUCAUCACCCUUUUAAAUCUAAUUUUAACUACUAUGUUUUUUUAAAACUUUCUUGACCAGAUUGUAUUGUGCUUGUUAAAUGCAUACUUUUAAAUAACAACAACAACAACCCAGUACAAUCCCACUUAGUGGGGUCUGGGGAAGGUAGUGUGUACGCAGACCUUACCCCUACCCUAAGGUAGAGAGGCUGUUUCCAAAUAGACCCCNNNNNNNNNNNNNNNNNNNNNNNNNNNNNNNNNNNNNNNNNNNNNNNNNNNNNNNNNNNNNNNNNNNNNNNNNNNNNNNNNNNNNNNNNNNNNNNNNNNNNNNNNNNNNNNNNNNNNNNNNNNNNNNNNNNNNNNNNNNNNNNNNNNNNNNNNNNNNNNNNNNNNNNNNNNNNNNNNNNNNNNNNNNNNNNNNNNNNNNNNNNNNNNNNNNNNNNNNNNNNNNNNNNNNNNNNNNNNNNNNNNNNNNNNNNNNNNNNNNNNNNNNNNNNNNNNNNNNNNNNNNNNNNNNNNNNNNNNNNNNNNNNNNNNNNNNNNNNNNNNNNNNNNNNNNAGAGAGGCUGUUUCCAAAUAGACCCCGGCAUCCUUCCCUCCAAGAACUUCCCACCUUGCUCUUAGGAAGACUCGAACUCACAACCUCUCGGUUGGAAGAUGGGGUUGCUUACCAUCAGAGCAACCCCUCUUGUCUAAAUGCAUACUUUUACUAUUUUUUAAAUAAUUGAUUAGAGUGUUCCUAUUUCGAUUUUGAUAUUAUUCUCCUCCCUUUAUUUUUGCUCUAUAACCCCUAAAAUUCUGAUGUUAGUAUCAUAGUCUUUCGGCUUCGAUUUUGAUAUUGUUGUCUGCUAGUUUCUUUGGAAUUAAUUUAUGUGUUGUGUAGUUUUCAGAGUGAUCUGUGAAUAUUUUAUUAAUGGUAAUAUUGUUCUUUGUAAAUUGGGUGAAUCAAUUGUGAAAUAUUUUGUUAUUUUGGUGUUGGAAAUCAAAUUAAUGUGUGUGUUGUAUAGUUCUCUAUUUUCCCCUCUAUUUCCCCUGCUACUAUUGGGGCUACACCAGUGGUAGCAGUGACAACCCCUCUUUGGUUUUUGGGUCACGGUAUUUUUUGUGUCUUUCAGGGAAAUUCUCGGAGUUGUUGGAGACAAGUUACGCGAACGAGCACUAGCAAAGGAGAGCAUCCUGGGCGAGUGUCAGGAAAGGGUGGUAGAAAGUAGGAUGUGAGAAUACAACAACAUCGAGUACAACAAAUCAAUCACGGGUUUUGUUCUCGGGAGUUGGUACCGCUCGUUUUAUUGUUUCCCUUUUGGUGUUGGCUAAAUUGAUGUUACUUUAGUUCCCAAAUAGUUCAAUCAUUGAACUAGUGUGCUAGUAGUCACUUGUUUCCUUCUAGUUUGGUUCGUUGACCAUUGUGCACUAGCGAGUCUUCUUUAGAUUGUUGUAGGUGUAGAGGCUAUAGCCUGGGAUGAUAGAGUAAGGGCAUGUCCUGGGGUAGGGAAGAGUGUGGGGCAGUGUAUGGGGUAGGGGCCAGGGGAUGGACGGGAGGCAGGGGAGGUAGAGGGGGCAAGGGAGCCUACAGGUUGCGAAUCAGGUCAUGGAAUACAGGUUCACUAAUGAGUAAGUCUAUAGAGUUAAAGGAGAUCCUUCAUAAGAGGAAGAUUAGUAUAGCAUGUGUCCAGGAGACUAGGUGUGUCAGAUCGAGGGCGAAAGACGCGGAUAGGUAUAAGUUGUGGUACUCUGGAGUCCUAAGGGGUAAGAAUAUAGUGGGUAUCCUAGUAGAUAGCCAUCUUAAAGAGUCGGUAGUAGAGGUUAGGCGGGUGAAUGAUAGAUUAAUGACUACUAAGUUAGUGGUGGGUGAGUGUACUUUAAAUGUCGUUAGCGCGUACGCAUCGCAAACAGGCUUGGAUAAGGAGAUUAAAAGGCGCUUUUGGGAGGGGUUGGAUUAGAUCAUUCAUAGUAUUCCACCUGCCAAGAGGUUAUCAUAGGGGGAGAUUUCAAUUAUCAUAUUGGAUCAUUUGCAAGUGGUUAUACUGGGGUACAUGGCAGGUUUGGUUUCGGGAAGCGGAAUGCAAAUAGGCUUGGAUAGGGAGAUUAAAAGGCGCUUUUGGGAGGGGUUGGAUUAGAUUGUUCAUAGUAUUCCACCUACUGAGAGAUUAUCAUAUGAGGAGAUUUCAAUGGUCAUAUUGGAUCAUAUGCAAGUGGUUAUACUGGGGUACAUGGCAGGUUUGGUUUCGAGAAGCGGAACAGAGAGGGCACUUUGCUUUUGGACUUUGCCAAGGCAUUUGAUCUAGUAAUUGCGAACUCAAGUUUCCCGAAGUGGGAGGAGCAUUUGGUUACUUACCAAAGUUCUAUGGCGUAGAUUCAUAUUGAGUAUCUUCUCCUCUAGAGAUACGAUGGAAGGUUGUACGAGGAUUGCAAGGUUAUCCUAUGUGAGACCCUCGCAACAUAGCAUAGGUUUUUUAUGAUGGACAUUGGUAUUAUGAUAAUGAAGAAGAAAAGGUUAGUACAAGGCCAUCUGAGGAUUAGGUGGGGAGCCUUGACUAAGGAUAAAGCUUAUGAGUUGGAAAACAGGUUAUCGGCAUUAGGAGCUUGGAGAAGUAGUGGGGACGCAAACACUAUAUGUUUGAUGAUGCAGACACUAUAAGGAAGGCAGCGAAAGAGGUAUUAGGGAUAUCUUUGGUUGCAUCGAUGGCCACAGAGGAGACUGGUGGUGGAACGCAGUUGUCCAAGGUAAAGUGGAAGCAAAGAAGGCGUCUAACCCACGGUUAGUAGGGAGCACUGACAUGUACGAUAGGAGAGUGAACAGUAAGUGGUAUAAGGUCGCUAGGAAGGAGGUGAAGAUGGAAGUCAUGAUGCUAAGACUGUGGCUUUUGCUCAUAUGUAUGAGGAACUGGGGAACAAAGUCAAGGAGAAAAAGUUAUUCCGGCUAGCUAAGAUGAGAGAGCAGAGGGCUCGAGAUCUGGACCAAGUGAGGUGCAUAAAAGAUGAUGACGGCAAAAUUUUGAUGGGGAUGACCAGAUUAAGAGGAGGAGGCAGACCUACUUUCAUGAACUUUUAAAUGGAGAAGAGGAUCGGGAUAUUGUACUAGGUGAAUUGAGGAGUACAAAUAGUCCCCAUGAAUUAAGUUAUUGUAAGGACAUUGAGGUCGAGGAGGCCAUGGAUGUGAUGCGUAAGAUGAGAAGAGGCAGAGCUACCGAGCCAGACAAAAUUCCAGUUAAACUUUGGAGGUGUGGGGGUAGAGCAGGCUUGGAAUAGCCUACUGUGUUGUUUAAUGUUAUAUUCAAGACAAAUAUGAUGCCUGAAGAGUGGAGGUGGAGUACAAUGGUUCCGUUGUAUAAGAAAAAAUACGGCAUCCAGUGCUGUAACAACUAUAGGUGUAUCAAAUUGAUGAGUCAUACCAUGAAAGUUUGGGAGAGAGUGAUAUAACUGAGAGUGCGAAGGAUGGUGUCUAUUUAAGACAACCAGUUCGGGUUCAUGCCAGCGUGUUCUACCACAGAAGCUAUCCACCUUAUUAGGAGGAUGUUGGAACAGUACAUGGAUGGGAAGAAGGAUCUCCACAUGGUGUUUAUUGAUAUGGAGAAAGCAUACGACAGGGUUCCUAGGGAGGUCCUAUGGAAUUAUUUGGAGGCUAAAGGGAUUUUGGUUGCCUACAUUAGGGUAAUUAAAGAUAUGUAUGAUGGAGCUAAGACUCGGGUUAGGAUAGUAGAAGGCAACUCCGAGCAUUUUUUGGUUGUUAUGGGGUUGCACCUAGGUCUGCGUUCAGCUAAUUCCUAUUUGCCCUGGUGAUGGAUGCACUAACAUCAUAUUCAAGAGGAUGUGUCAUGGUGUAUGUUAUUUACUGAUGACAUAGUUCUGAUUGACAGACACAAGGGGGCGUCAACAAAAGGUUGAAGAUUUGGAGGCAUGCCCUUGAGUCUAAAGGUUUCAAGUUGCGCAGGACAAAGACAGAAUACCUCAAGUGCAUAUUUCGGGUCGAGCCGACGUGCGGGAGUGGAUGUGAGGCUUGAUUCCCAAUUCAUUCCCAAGAGAGGUAGUUUCAAGUACCUUGGGUCUGUUAUUCAGGAGAUCAGGGAGAUCGAGGAUGUUGUCACGCACUGUAUAGGGGUGGGGUGGAUGAAGUGGAGGUUAGCGUCUGGAGUCCUGUGUGACAAGAAAGUGCCCCCGUUACUAAAAAUUAAGUUUUAUAGAGUAGUGGUUAGGCCUGCCAUGUUGUAUAAGACUGAGUGUUAGCCGACUAAGAACUCACACAUCAAGAAGAUGAAAGUAGCAGAGAUGGGGAUAUUGAGGUGGAUGUGUGGGCAUACAAGGAUGGAUAAAAUUAGGAAUGAAGAUAUUCGAGAGAAGGUGGGCGUGACCCCCAUAGAGGAUAAGAUAUGGGAAGCAAGACUUAGAUGGUUCGGGCACAUUCAGAGGAAGAGCAUUGAUGCACCGAUGAGGAGGUGAGCGAGUGGCUAUGGUGGGAACGAGGAAAGGUAGAGAGCGACCCAAGAAGUAUUGGGGAGAGGUGAUCAGGCAGGACAUAGCGCUACUUAGGAUUACUGAGGACAUGGCCCUUGACAGGGAAUUGUGGAGGUCGAGCAUUAAUGUUGUAGGAAAGGGAAAAGUUGCGAAUAUUUCUACGGCGCACCAGAGUGAGACUAGCCAGUUAGGAUUUAGUUUUAGGAUGCUAGUGGUUAUCUACUGAUGCAGGGCUUUAUCUACUGAUUACUAUUAUACUUUCCAUCUAUUUCGUAUUUCUUAUAUUAUUAUUAUUUUAUUUUGAUUCAAUUGAUGGUACUAAUAUAUCGUUUUUUAUUUCCUUCUUGAGCCGAGGGUCUCUUGGAAAUAGUCACUCUGCCGCUGGGGUAAGGGUAAGAUCUACGUAUAUAUUAAACGGGCUCGAGAUCUGGACCAAGUGAGGUGCUAAACUGGGUUGUCUUUGUUGUGGAUGGGUAUUUAAAAUAUAAAACAUUUCUACAACUAAUACAAUUAUAGCGAUCAUGUUCACUAGCCACAAGCUGAUUAAGCAUGUUUCAUAUAAAAUACAUUCCCAAAUUAGGUCAUAUUAAUAGCCUGAGGUCUAAUCCGAUCACAAGACACAAAUAGACCCUGUGUAUACGCUCGUUAUCUCGUGUACAUGUCACUUUUUCACAUAACAUAAAUAGACAAUUAAGGUGAAGUCCUAAAAGAUUUUCCUCUACACAAGGAUAGGCAAGAUAUUUACCUCAAACAAGGAGAUUUGAUACUCCAAAAAUGCCUUUCCAUUAAAAUUCACCUUCGCCAGGCUCCAAUCUAGUCUAAAAUAACUCAAUAACAUCAAGCAAUAUUAAAGGAAUCAAUUCCAAACAACCAAGUUUCAAUCUUUACCCAAUUCUCGAAAAGUCAACCCCGGGCUCGCACAGUCAAAACCGGAGUCGAAGGAUAGAUCUCUACUAUCCAUAGCCUCAUGGAUCUAAAUAUAUGAUUAGUUCUCAAAAAUGAGUCCAAAUCAACUCCCAAAUCUUCAACUUUUAUUUUUCAAAACAUAGUAAAUGUUUUUUUCAAAAAUUCCUUUCAAAUACCAUGAUUUUUAGUGUACAAAUCCAUGAGAAAUAAAAAUACAUUAUCAAAAUUAAGUGAAAAUCACAUACCUAAUAGCUAUGUGUGAAAUCUCCUCCAAAAAUCGCCCAUCACCAAGUCCAGGGCUCAAAAUAUGAUAAAAUAAGCCUAAGCCCCGAUAUUCCUAUCUAUUCACAAUUGUAUAUGUUACAUUUUUUACCAUAGGUUUUCAAAUUCAACCUCCGCAAAUGCGACAAAAGGAUUUCAAAUACGGAACAUUGUUUCCCCUAGAGAUGUCGCAAAUGCGACAACAGAUUUUGCAAGGUUCAAUAUCACAAUUGCGACCUUAUACCUCAAAAUUGCAAGGUUCACAAUGUAGUCACCCUUCCUUUGCAAAUAUGGACAUCGCAAGUGAGAGUAGACCUUUGCAAAUGUGAGUUCUGCAGCACCAGAAAACCUUACGCAAACCAAAUUCAUUCUGAAACUCACCUGAGCCUCUCUAGUCCCACACCAAGCAUAUAAUUCUUACCAACCCAACUUGGAAUGACAUAAAACUUUUCAAACAAGUUCUAAAUGAUAAAAUAGACCUAUUCCAAGUUUCGAAAUACCAAUUCGAACCUGGUAGCGACAAAGUCAAUCCAUGUUCAAACUUAUAAGAAAUUAAAAUAUUUAAAUUUCCAACUUUCGACAAAAAGAUCUAAAUCAUCAUAUGAACCUUCGGAUUCAAAUGGGGGAAUUCACCUAAGUCCAAAAUUACCAUAUAAGCCUAUUGGACCAUCAAAACACAAAUCCGAGAUCGUUUAUACGAAUUCAAACCUUGGCCAACUCUUCUUACUUAAGCUUCCAAUCUUAGAACUAAGUAUUCUAUUUCCAUCCAAAACCUUUUUGAAACCAAACCAAACAUCCCAACAAGUCAAAAAUAAACAAUUAAUCACAUAUGAGGCAUCAAAUUGCGAAAUAGGGCUCAAAUACACAAAAUGACCCAUCAGGUCGUUAUAGCAAGGACGUGUUGGAUUGUUGAUCUUGCCCCAAAAAGAGGUAAGUGUCUUGGUUAACCUUGAUUCAGGGAACUAGAGUGUAAUUGAUUCUAUUCUCUACAUGAUCUAUAUAUUGGGAGUGUCAUAUAUACAAGGUGACGAGUGUAUAUACAUUGGUCAACGGAUAAGCAUGUGGGUAGAAUUAGCCUUAUUUGUGCAAUGUUACUUUGAGUAUUCUGUCUUCCAUGCUUUACAUAAAUUAUAAAACUCUUUGAUUUCUUUUAUUCAUGUUAUUUUCUAUGUUGAGCUUAUUUUAAUAUUAGGCGUUGAGAUCGUUAAAUUGUUGAUUUGAUUGUUGGUGUUAAAUUGUUGGUUAUUUUUCAUACAAUGAGUUAUGUUCAAAUAUUAUUAUUGGUGUUGAAUAUGCUUUCCGCCUUUCUUGGUAAUGUGUUAUAUCUGAUGCCUGGUGAGGAUGAGUGAAAUGCACAAAUGGUGUUGUGGUGCUUGUGAGGUAGAGUGAUUAUACAUGAAGGUCCUUUCGUGCUUUAUGCAUAUAUCAAUAUCAUUACACAAAUAGUGUUUUCAUGCUUGAGAGAAAGUGAAUAUGAACAAAGGUUGUUUCCAUGCUUGCUAAUAUAUAUGAUGUGAGGAUGAGAGUAAAAGCAUGAAGGGUAAUGACGUGUUGUUUGCUGGUUUAAUUAUUCCUUACAUUGUCAGUUAGAUUGUUUACUUGGAUUUAUGGUUUUGUAAUUUACUUUUUGAAAGGUUGUUCAGAGUUGCUGUAAAAGUAUGAGUUGUGGUUUACUCAGUGACACCUUCAUUUACUUUCCCAUUUUAUGUUCCUUACUUAUGUACUUAUUAUCUUUCUCAAAUGUUAAUAUCCUGCCUCAUAAUUGGUACUUUACUUUUCAUAUCGUAUUUCAUGAUAUUAUAACCACUCAGGUUCAUUUGUAGGUGUGCUGUCUUAGCCUCGUCACUACCUCAUUGAGGUUGGGCUUUAUACUUAUGGAGUACAGUGGGUCGGUUGUACUAAUAUUAUACUUCUGCACUUCUCGUACAUAUUAAUAAAUUGGUACACCGGAGUCCCGAGAGGUGCUUAACAGAUACCACGUAGACGACUCAAGGUAGAGCUGCAUAUUGUUCGUAUUAGAGUCAUCUUUCUUGAUCCAUUGUAUUGUUUCUACUUUUUAAGACAAUGUUGUAUUUCUUUCAGGACAAUGUAUGUAGUAAACUCUACUAGCUCAUGUACUUGUGACUCCAUGUCUUGUGAUGGUUGGAAGUUAGUGUUGAUCUUAAAUUAUUCAUCUGUACUUUUGAGUUGCUUUUACAUCAUAUUACUAUCAUCUUGUUGUUAGUCAUAAAUUAUUCUUUUAUAUGUUCUAUUGUGUUUUUUAUUCCCUAGCAGGUGAUGUUAGGCACCAUCACGAUCCUGAUUGGUAGGGAUUUUGGGUCAUGAUAGUUGGUAUCACAGCCCUAUGUUGCAGAGAUCUCACAGGUCAUGAGAAAGCUUAUUAGAGUCUUAAUGAAUAUUAUGAAGACAUUUGUACUUAUCUUCUAGUGGCUAUAAGGCUUUAAGAAACUUCAAUUUCUUUCUUUCUCUAUCGUGCGACGUGUUCAAUCAUUAACAUUGAUUCUCUUAUAAAUAGUGAAGACACAUACGUGAUCCAUAACGAUCAGGAGCCAGAGCCCUAGAUUGCUGCCACUACAAAGGGUAGGGGCAGGGACCGGGCUAGAGCCAGAGGUAGAGGCAGAGCUUAGUCUAGGGCACGUGCAUUGGCAUCUAUUGUCAAGACACAUAUGGAGAAGGAUGAUGGGAUCCCAUUUCUAAUUGAGCCACUAGGACCAGCUCAAUUCCUAGAGGAGUUCAUUGCUACCCUAGUGCUUCAGGUUGCCUUACUUUGCACGGUUAGUUUCGUAGAGAGUAUGGCUCAGGCUGGUGUGUUUCAUGUGGAACCAGCCAUUUCUUAGGCCGGGGAAGGAUUUCAUACUCUCACUACUCUCACCCAAAGAAGAUAACCAAUGGUUAUCAUAACACAAUAGUUCUACCAGUUGGGCCGAUUCAGCCUAUUAUUGGUACAAAGCCUGAGGAUAGACUCGCGAUGUCAGUUGACGAUCUGAAGAGGUGGGAUAGGUUCAGCAAGUUGUUUUCCCCUCACUUCAGUGUGCACCUUCAAAGUACUGGUCUCGGGACUUCUCGAACCGUUGCCAUGAGAUUUUACACAACAUGGGUCUAGUAGAACCAACAGAGUUGAUUUCACCAUUUUUCAUAUGCAUGGUUCUGCCAAGAGGUGGUGGCCGAUUUAUGAGCACGGCAGGCCAGCAGGAUCACCUUCUCUCUAUGGCUCAAUUCUUGCAGUCGUUCUUGGAGAAGUUUAUUCCCUUCACCCAGAGAGCAUGUUAUCAUGGUCAUUUCUUAGUAUUAGAUUCGAUGUAUUGAUCUAUCAUUCCAUACAACUAUCUUGAUCCCUAUUGAGAGGAGAAGGUGCGGAGGUUCAUAAAAGGUCUUACAUAUGGCAUCCAAUGGCCAGAGAGACAAAGGCUGAGAUGUACUUUACUCAGGAAUUGGAUAUCACCAAGAGGAUCGAGCAUAUAAAAAACCAGGCGAGGGAGAUGGCCUCUGAUAAGAGGCCCAUUAUCUUGGAGGAUUCGGUGAUGCCUCAUCUGGAGGAAGGGGUUCCUUUGGUAGAGACCAUCCUAUCAAGCCAAUAAAGUCAACUAUAUAGGACAACCAUGGUACUUCACGAAGCCAUAGUGCUUAUGGACCUCAUUCCAAGUAGCUGGCAUACAGUACGCCCCUAGCUCGGGUUAGUGCAUUUUUUAUCAAGUGUUACAUGGAUGGCUAUCAGGUCAUCAGGGAUAGCUCCAAAUUCAAUAGCCACGUCAAUAGAGGAAUUGUUAUGUAUGUCAUGUUGUUUUGUUUAAGGUCGCAGAGCAGUAUGCCACAACAUGAUACUCAUGCUAUGAUUCUGACACUAGUUUACCCCAACACCUUUUAACUAAAUAGAGGCGGGGGUCAGGUAGCUCGAGGUAGAGGCUAGUUAGUUAGAGAUGUAGGUUAGUCAGUGAGAGAUCGUCCUAGAGGUAGAGGACAGGUUGGUUGGGCUCAGCCCCGUUAUUAUGCAUUUUCGACUAGGCCUAAGGUGGAGUCUAAUAUAGUUAUUACAGGUAUUAUCUCAAUUUGUCAUAGAGAUGCUUCUGAAUUAUUUGAUUCAAGCUUAACAUAAUCUUAUAUGUCUUCGUAUUUUGCUUCAUGCUUGAGUGAUGUUCCAGUUUUGUUGUCUACACCGAUUGGAGAUUCUAUAGUAGUUAAUUGGUAUACCAAUCUUGUGUUGUCACUAUUAAUGGUUUUGAUAUUAUAGUUUAUCUUCUGUUGCUGAAUAUGUUAGAUUUUGAGUUCAUUCUUGGUAUGGAUUAGUUAUCCUCAUAUCACGCUAUCUUGGAUUGUCAUGGCAAGACUUUUAUAUUAGCCAUGAUGGGGUUGUCAAGAUUGGAGUAGAGAGGGACCCUCGAUCACUCCACUAGCAGGGUGGUUUUAUAUUUGAUGGCUCAGCAUAUGGUUGAGAAUAGGUGUUUAGCUUAUUUUACUUAUAUUCGAGAUUCUACUAUAGAGUUUUCUUCCAUGGAUUGAGUACUUGUUAUCAUUGAGUUUCCAAAGGUGUUUCCAACAGAUUAUCCAGGUAUGCCACAUGACAGGAAUAUUUACUUUUGCAUUGAUUUAGUUCAAUCCAUUCACCCUAUUUCUAUCCCAACGUACUGUAUAGCUUUAGCUAAGUUGAAUAAAUUAAAGGGUCACUUGCAAGAUUUGCUUGAUAAGGGAUUUUUUUAGACCUAGUAUGUCACCUUGGGGUAAGCCAGUGUUAUUUGUUAAGAAGAAGGGUGGAUCGAUGAGUAUGUGCAUUGACUAUUGGUAGUUAAACAAUGUCGCUAUCAUGAAGAAGUAUCUAUUGCCCAUGAUUGAAGAUUUAUUUGACCAUUUUCAGAGUGUCGGGGUGUUUUCCAAGAUUGAUUUGAGAUCUAGUUACCAUCAUGUGAAGAUUAGGCCAUCGGAUGUCCAUAAGAUAGAUUUUAAGACUCGAUACGGACAUUACGAGUUCUUGGUGAUGUCGUUUGGCUUGACUAAUGCUUUAGCAACCUUCAUGAUUUUAUGAACUGAGUAUUCAAGACUUAUCUAGAUUUCUUUGUGAUUGUCUUCAUUGAUGAUAUUCUGAUCCACUCCCAUAUUAAUGAGGAGCAUGAGGAGCACAUGUGCAUUGUACUUCACUUUAGAGGAUUGCUAGCUAGCCAAGUUUUAAAGUGUGAGUUCUGGUUGGACUGAGUUGCCUUAUUGGGUCAUGUUGUGUCUUCUGAGGGUAUCAAGGUUGAUAUUGAGAAGAUAGAAGAAGAUUAGAAUUGUCCUAAACCUACUUCAACUACAUAUAUUCAGAGCUUCUUGAGUUUGAUAGGCUACUAUCGCCGGUUCAUGGAGGGAUUUUCAUCUGUCUCAACCCCUUUGACCAAGUUGACUCAGAAGUAUGCUCUUUCCAGAUGACGAGUGUGAGGAAAGAUUCAGAAGCCUAAGAAUGUCUUGACUAUAGACCUAAUAUUGAUGUUGCCCAUAGGUUUGGGGUAUUACAUUGUGCAUUGUGAUGUGUCGCGUAUUUGGCUUGACAUAAUAUUGAUGCAAGAUGGCAUGGUGAUUGCCUAUACAUAUCUUAAGUUAAAGGUCCAUGUGCAUGAUCUGUAGUUAGCGGCCAUUGUUUACGCACUCAAAAUUUGGAGGCAAUAUCUAUACGGCUUGCCAUGUGAGGUCUAAAUUGACAUGGGGGUCUCCAACAUAUAUUCAAGCAAAAUAAUUUUAACCUAAGAAAGAGAAGAUGCUUUGAGUUAUUGAAAGACUAUGAUAUCACCAUAUUAUAUCAUCUGGGGACGGCUAAUGUGGUGGCCGAUGCCUUGAUUAGAAAGGUGGAGAGCAUGGACAGUUUGGUUUUUAUACAUGUAGUGGAGAGGCCAUUAUCCAUGGAUUUUUAGGCUUUGGCUAAUUGGUUUAUGAGAUUGGAUAUUUCGGAGUCGAGUAAGGUUCUUGCUUGUGUUGUGGUACAUUCAUAUUUGUUGGAGCACAUCAAGGCUAUCCGGUUUGAUGAUCCUCACUUAUUGGUGUUGAAAGACGCAGUGCAGCGGGGUGGUGCUAAGAAGGUCAUGAUUGGGGAUGGUGGUAUUAUGUGGCUCAGGACUAGAUUCAUAUUCCAAAUGUUUAUGGGUUGAGUGAGUUGAUCCUUGAGGAGACUUAUAGCUUGUAUUAUUCCAUUGACGAAGAUAUAUCAUCACUUGAAGCAGCAUUAGUAGUGGCAAAAGUUGAAGAAAGACAUUAUGGGACAUGUCUCUCGGUAUUUGAAUUGUCAACAAGUGAAGUAUGAAGAUCAGAACCCUGUGGUUUGACUCUGAAGCUGGUGAUACCAUAGUGCAAAUGGGAGCACAUCACUAUGGACUUUGUGGUAAGGUUAGCAUGGAACUUGAUAAAGUAUGAUGUUGUUUUGGCCAUCGCAGACUGGUUGACCAUACCGCGCACUUCAUCGCGGUAAUGACAUCCUACUCUUCAGAGUAGAUGGCUCAAAUUUACAUCAGGCACAUUAUUCUCCUGCAUGGUGAGUGGCACGCAGUUCAUUUCACAUUUUUGUAAAGCUGUGCAGCAUGAGUUGGGCACGUGGGUCAAGCUGAGUAUCGUAUUUCACCCUCAGACACACGGACAGUUCAAGCACACCAUUCAAAUUAUAGAGAUAUGUUAAGGGCAUGCUCUAUUGAUUUUGGGGGUCAGUGGGACCUGUUUUUACCUCUAGUGGAGUUUGCCACAACAAGAGCUAUUAGUCGAGAAUCUAGAUGGCCUGGUGAGGCUAGGCUGUUGGGCACAAAUUUACUUCGUUACGCUUUGGAGAAGGUAAAAUUGAAUCAGGAGCGGCUUCGUACAGAUUAGUCCAGGAAAAAGAUAGGCCAAUAGGAAGAUUCGCGAUGUGGCUUACAUGGAAGGUGAUAAGGUCUUCUCCAAGUUUUGCCUUUGAGCACGAGGUUUAUUGACCUGUUUGAGAUCUUGGAGAGAGUUGGGGAGGUUUUUAUAAGCUUGUAUUGCCUCCUAGCCUAGCAGGGGUACAUUUUGUAUUUUACAUUUACAUACUUUGGAAGUAUCAUCAUAAUAGGCACAUGUUUUAGACUUUAACACGAUGAAGCUUGAUGAGAAUUUUACCUAUGAGGAAGAGCUGGCAGUUAUUCUAGAGUGGCGGGUUUAGAAGUUGAUAUCUAAAGAUAUACCUUUUGUGAAAGUGCGUUGGAACGAUAAGCCAAUUGAGGAGGCUAUUUGGGAGUACGACAUGAGGAGUAGAUACUCACAUAUUUUUACCAAUACAAGUAUAUUUCUAGUUCGUUCAGGGAUGAAGAUUUCUUCUAGAGGUGGAGAAUGGACGAUCCGAUAAGUCGUUUUGAGUACUACCUCCCAUUUUGUGUUUCGAUACCUUCCACAACUUUAUUUGAUGAUUUAUGACUUGCGUGCGUGGACCGUGUCAAUUUUUAGGAAGUUUACAAAAUUUUAAAAGAAAAUUUUAUGUUUUACCUUGAAAGUGGCGUUGGCCACAAUCAAUAUUCCUUGUAAACGAUAUCGGAUCGGUAUUUUGACGAUUCCAGUAGGUUUGUAUGAUGAUUUUGGACUUGUACGCAUAUUUGAUUGGGUCCCGGGUGAGAAUACCAUUUCGGAGUUUUACAUAGAAAGUUGGAAAUUUGAGUUUGAACUUUGAAAAUCUUGAGUUUUGGUAGUUGACACUUGAAUUAAUCAAAUUGGAGAAAUAAGGUGAGUAAUGAAAUCUUAGAGAAAUAAGGUGAACAAAAAUACUAAUGAGAAAUAAAUAAAAUAUGUUUUGAGGAAUUGAGCUAGCGAGUGAGGUUGUAUGAUAGUAACAUACUUGUGUGAAUGUUUGUAUUGAAGACCAAGGGGCUCUGAGGGGUUACGCACUGUUUUUGCAUAGCUAAAGUUUCGUGAUCUUUUUAGGUUGUAGAUCUCGCAUUGCGAGGUUCUAUUAAUGAAUGAGAGCUUUGUAUUUACGAGAACAUGCUCUCAUUUGAGACACGGGGAAGGAAGAUGAUAGCUUCGCAUUUAUGAAGAUUAGUACGCAUUUACGAGGUGAAUAGCCUUUGCAUUUGCGAAGUUCCAAUCACAAUUGCGACUCUGAAGGUUUGCGAAACUUAGUUCUCAUUUGCAGGAUGACUAAGUUUGCACUUGCGGUUAAUGCAUCGCAUUUGUGAGAUUGGAACUCGUUCGCAAUUGCGAACGUUGCAAUUGCAAUUAGAGCUUGAAAUUGCAAUACCUACAAUUGGGUAAAAUGUUGGGAUUUUUGGACUUAGUGCAUUUGACACCAUUUUUGAGACGUAGACUCCAUAAAGGCAAUUUUUGGAGAGAAAUUCUUCCCAACUUCGUAGAUUAGUAAUCUUAACUUGUUUAUAUUCAAUUUCGAUUACUUUUUUUUUUCAUGAAUUCCACUAUUAAAUCUAAAAUUCAUAGAGUAGAAACUGAUGGUUUUUGGUAGAAACUAGAAAUAUUAUAAAAAUUGAGAUUUAGAUAUUAAAUUGAGGUUAGAUCUCGAAACGAAUCAGAUAUUUGGAGUCAUGAAUGAAUGGUUAAUCGGGAUUUAGUUUUAGUUUCGGAUUUUGACCAAGUUGGGUGGAUUAACUUUUUGUUGACUUUUUCAAUUAUGUGAAAGGUCAAACCUUUUCCGUAAGAUGGUAGUUUUUGAAGCUUGUUUUGACUUAUUUGAGAAAUAAUUGACUAGAUUUGGGUGGUUUGGAGGCUUGUUCCAAAGGAAAGGUCAUGUAGGAUUAUUAAUCUCACACCGGAAAGAGUUAAGUAUCUUGGUUAAACUUAAUUGAGGGAAUUCGGGUAUAAUUGAGUCUAUUCGUUGUGUGAUCUAUGUGUUGGAGGCGUUGUAUAUACAAGGUGACGAGUGUAUAUGUGCCGGCUUUGGAUAAGAAUGUGGAUAAAAUUAGCCUUAUUUGUGUCAUGUUACUUUGUGUAUUAUAUCUUCCAUGCUUUAGAUAAAUUGUAAAACUCUUUGAUUUCUCAUUAUGUUGAGUUCAUUGUGAUAUUGAGGGUUGAGAUCGUUGAAUUGUUGAUUUGGUUUUUGGUGCCAAAUUGUUGUUCAAUUUUCAUAUGACGUUUAUGUUCAAGUACUACUAUUGAUGUUGAAUAUGCUUUUCACUUUACUUGGUACUGUAUUAUAUGUGAUUCUUGGUCAGGAAGAGUGAAAUACAUGAAAGGUGUUGUCGUGCUUGUGAGGUAGAGUGAUUGUGCACGAAGGACGAUUUCGUGUUUUAUUCAUAUAUCAAUACAAUUGCACGAAGGGUAUUUUCGUGCUUGAGAGAAAGUGAGGAUAUGCACAAAUGGUGUUUUUGUGCUUGCUAUUAUAUUGAGAUGCUACGAUGAGAGUAAAAGCACAAAGGACGAUGCCUUGUCGUUUGUUAGUUUCAUUGUUCCUUAUCAUGUUAUUCAAAUUGUUCAUUGGACUAUAUAGUUUCGUAAUUUACUUUUUGAAAGGUUGUUAAAGUUGUUGUAAAAGUAUGAGUUGUGCUUUACUCAGAGACACAUUCCUUUACUUUCCCGUUUUAUAUUCCUUACUUAUGUACUUAUUCUCUUUCUCACACUUUACUAUCUUGCCUUAUACUUGGUACUUUACAUGUCAUCUCGUAUUUCUUGAUAUUAUAUCCACUCGGGUUUAUUUGUGGAUGUCUUGUCUUAGCUUUGUCAAUACCUCGUCGGGGUUAUUCUCGAUAGUUAAGGAGUACAUUGGGUUACUUGUACUCUUACUAUAUUCUGUACUUUUUUGCAUAUUUAAAUAUUGGUACCAACAGAGUCUCGAGAGGUGCUUAGCAACUACCACGUAAAUGACUCGAGGUAGAGCUAAAUACAGUUCUCAUGUCUUAGAGUCGUCUUUUUCAAUUCAGUUGUAUAGUUUAUACUUUUUUGGACGACAUUAUAUUUCUUUCAAAAUAGUAUGUGUAGUGAACUCCAGAAGCUCAUGUACUUGUAACUCCACGUCUCAGUUGAACGUUAGUGUUGAUAUUAGACUAUUCAUGUGUACUUUUGGGUUUUUUACAUCAUGUUAUUAUUUUUCUAUUAGUUGCCAUUUGCAGUUCUUUCGUAUGAUCUAUUGUGUGUUGGCUUGCCUAUUAAGAGGUGUUAGGUAUCAUCACGAUCCCGAUUGGUUGAAAUUUCUGGUCACGACAUUUACAUGAGUGGAAAAAGUGAGAAACUUUGCACUAGCAUUCAAGUGAAGUAAAGAACUUUAUUACUUUUCGAAAAGUGUACCUUCCAAAACUAUCUCAUUACUAACCUCAAAUGUCUUUUGAAAAUAGAACAUUUGACUGGUAAAUCCAAAUCAAUCUCAAAGAUUCCAUCUCACAAUCAAACAAAAAGAAUCAAAUGGCUUAAAGUUUAAAACUUUACUAAUCAAUUCACCUUUAAAAAGGCAAUCAUUCGCAAUUAAAGAAUGAUCCUCACAAUAGGAAGCAUGAAUAAUAGGAAUCAAUAUAUCAAACUCAGCAAAAUCACAUAAAGAUGCACCAUUUACGUAUUUCUCAGCCUCAAUCAUUGUUUCUUCAUAAGCAAGUAGGUCAUUCAAACCAUCGAAGCAACUAGAAUUACUAUCUAGUGUAUCUUCACAACUCAAAGGAUCAUUAGAAUGAAUAAAUAUACCAAAACUAAUACUUGAAAUAUCACAAUAAGAGAGAGUGUUAGAUUUAACAAUCAUACCUUGAUGCACUUCUAAAGAUCUUACUUUACCUCCUUGAAGAACGGAAGAAUAUUUCCUUUGGACUAGGGUGGAAUCGACCACCUUAUUUGGAGCUCUUUCAUCGAGACUUCCACUUGAAUUUUUCUUCAAAUGCUCUAUACAAUAAACCAAACAACUAGCAAGAAAAGCAAUAGCCAUGAAAUAAUUAUAAGAAGGAUGCUCCUCACUUGAACUCUCUUAUUUUUUUCUCUUCUUUCUUUUCAUUCUUUUCUUUUCCUUCUUUCUUGGUUUUCUCCCUCAAUUUUUCCAUAUGCCUAAAAUUUUUACUCAUUUAAAAUAUAGUCAAAGGGGUGAGGACUAUCUUCUUUUCAUUUUUCUCAAAAGAAUGCUUAUUAGUCCUUCCAUCAUGUAGAUCACUCACUAUCAUAUUGCUAUUGACCUCCCCAGCAAUAAAUGAUAUACUUGCAUGGGAACCACAUAAAAAAUUAGCUCAUCAACAUACUUUACAAUUUUGAACUCAUCAAGACUUGAGUAGUUACUUUAAGUUCACCAUAUUCAUUAAGCCAUUGGAGUUUGUAAGGACGAGUAUAUCUUUGACUCUUCAAAUUCAACUUAUCAACCAUAGAAGCACUAACAACAUUAGAACAACUACAGCUAUCAAUAAUCAAACAACUCACAUGAUAUUUAUUCUUGCACCUUCCAUGAAAUAAGUUCUUUCUUUAAGUCAUAUAUUCCAUCAUUGGGUACUCAACAAUCUCUUAACAACAUACAAAGGUAUAUUAGGAGAGUCAAUUCUACUUCAUCAUUACACUCGGCCUCCUUUUCUUCACAUGAUUCUUUACUUUCUUCCCUUUUAUAAGCUUCUUCCAUAACGAUUAUGUUUCUUCAAUUAAUACGUUCGCUCAUUUUAUGCCAGUAUCUUUGACAUUUAAAGCACAUAUUAGAGCUAGGGUUUUGAAAGUAUGAUUUGAAAUUUUUACCUCUAUCCUUAACCUCAACUUUUGGUUUGAAUUUGUCAUUUUGCCGCUUGGAAUCAACUUUUGUUUUUUUUUUAUUUGAAAGAGAUUGCCAAGUUUUCUUAUUUUUUGCUUCAUGAAGUGUUGUAAUUUUUGGAGUUUCCUUUGGAGUGCCUCGUGUAUAGCAGUAAAUUUGUGCAAGGUCAUUUGGCUAGAGAUUUUAUGCUUAAGUCCUGCCAAAAAUCUAAAAAUCAUAAGUCUUCCAUCAUCAUCAAGAUUGGCUCUAACUCUUGCUUCAUGUUUGUAAAAUUUGGUAAGCAAGUCAUUUACAAAUUCUCCGGGCACAAAACUUGCUAUCGUAACCACUCUAAGAAACUCCCAAGAAAAAAUAGCAAUAUUUCUAUUUCUAUUUAUACCAUGUUUCUCUUUCUCCCACCAAGAAGAAGCAUAACCAAUAAGUUUAGAAAUGGCAUAAUUGAAUUUCUUUGCAACAGAUAUAUUGUUAAGCUCAAACAUUCUUUCCAUUUGUAUUUCCCAUUCUAAAAAUUCCUUGGGAUCACUACUUCCUUUAAAAGUAGGAAGUGAAGUCUUGAUGUUGUCAAGACCCCAAUCUUCUUCAUCUCCGCAUCUUCUAUCAUCUUUUUUAUUAUGAUUAAAACCAUAAUCAUAAAUAUCAUUUAAGUUCCUACCUUGAUAUCCCUACAAUGCCUUCCACCUCUCCUUCUAAAGCCACUUUAUCCAUUCCUCCUUAAUUGGACUCAAAUUGAUUUAGCAUAGUGCCGAUCGUAGUCCAAAUCAUCAUCAAAGACAUUUUGUGAUCGUUGUGGCCUAGGAGGUUGUUGUUGAUGCUCAACGCUUGCUUGUCUAACUUGUUGAUUGAUUAAUUAGCGUUACAAUUCGUAGUGCGGUUGAAGUAGAACUAGUUUGUUGUGUUGUACUAGUUACCACUUCUUGGUUAGGAUUAUGUGACAAGCCUUGCUAUUGGUUAAGAACAUUGACAUGGGACUUGACCAUAUUUUUCAUGUUAUUAACUUUCAUAAUCAAAGCUUGUAAGACCUCCCAAAUGGUCUCAUUGAAUACUACCUCUUUUGGUGUUGAAGUACCUUCAAUAUUUAAAGGCACAAUACUUGCAAAUAAAGAAAAUAAUUUAGAAAUAAAAAGACCUCUCCAAAUUCACUCCCUUAGAGCAUCCCUCAAAGAUUGCACUUAAAUUUUACCACUUAUAUAUCACUCUUGUGUACUUUGGUUUUUAGGCACACAAGCUAAGAAUCUCACCACUCAAUCAUUUUAUCAUUUCUGGGUAAAUAUCGAAAGUUGAUGUUAAACUCAAUCAAGGCACUUUCAAGCAGUCCUUCCAAAUGUCAGGACGUGAAUUGAAUUUUAUAAGACUCAACAAAGAAGCUAAAAAUAACAAACGAACAAUAAAAACAAAAAUUAACAAGAACUAAAGAGAAAGCAAAAAGAAAAUUGCUCCGUAAAGAAAGUACAAACACAAAUAAUUAGAUGACCUAACACAAACAUGAACUAAAUACCAAAUGAAGUCUAGCUAUGAAUACAAAAGGAAGUGGAAAAGGAAAUAAUUAAAAAAAAAAGAAAGUGUCAAGCAGUAUUCUUAGUUCUUUCAAGGUGUUCAAAAAUGGUGGUCGCGCUAAAUUCUUCCCACAAGUAGUGGUUAAUCUCCUUGACUAAAGCUCAACACCAUGAUUCAUAGAAUUCAGAGUUGGACAAUUCUAAGUUCCAAGUAUUCCAAAUUCAUAGUGAUAUUCACAACCUCGAUUUCAACAGCAACCAUAGAUUAGAAUUCCGAUUAAGGCUCAACUUCUUUAACUGGUGUUAACAUAUUCUUGAUAUGAUUCGCUCAAAAAUUUUGAACCAGGCUUCCAAGUUUUAAAUAAAUUCCAGACUUCACAAAAUGAUGAAGAGCAGUUGAGCCCCUAAUGUCACCGCAGCUUCGACUUUCGACAAUGGUGCACUUAGAAUAUUUUUUUCUCAACUUCGAGUUUGCAGCAUCAAGUAUUAGACGGAUUCAAUUUGUGAAGGAUUUACUAUUUCAACCACGAACAAUGAACACCCAAGACAGCAUUUUCUUCUUCAUUUUAGCUCUCAAAUAGCUUCAGAUCUUAGAACUGGCUUCAUCUCAAAAACAAUUAUCAAUAGUUAACAAUACCAAUUCGAAAUUGGAGCACAAAUCUUCAAUGAUAUAUCAGAUUUGAAAAGUUUUAAAUCCAUCAAUGGUGAUUUUCAAGAUUUUCUCAAAACAAUCACCUAUUCCAACUGGGUUUUACCCGUUUUAAGCUCAAAUACUUCGCUAACUCAAAUUCGAGAAUAGAAUUCACCAACAAAAAAAGCAUUCCUGAUCCAUAGAUGGUUUUGACGAAUUAAAAGUACAAAAUAGGAUAGAAACAGGGAAAAAUAAGGAUAUUUUUUUAUUUAUUUUUAUUAAUUUCUGAUAUAAAAUCAAGCAAUAAACAAAAAAUUUAUAAAACCCAUAUCCAUGGUUUUUGCUACAAUACCAAGAUGAUAGGAACGCGAAAGCAAAGAUAACAAGAAUACAAAUUAAAAGAUAGAAAGAUAAAAUUUAACAAAGAACUAACUCGGGAAAUUAAAAAAUACUUGAAAUCAAACAUAAAUAUCAUUCAGUUUAAAUCUUAAUCAACCCCAAACUAUUAUAUAACCCUUAAGAGGAAGAAUUCCCAUAAAAGCUACCUUAAAGGUUUUUCAAAUAAUAAUGGAAUUUAUCCAUAAUACUCACUCAAGAAGUUUAUAAUCUUAAUAGUAAAAUAAGCUAAGUCUAAAAUAAGAGUUUUAACGGCUAGGGAGCUAAGUAUUAUAAAAUAUAGCCACCAAAUAUAAAGUAACAUUAAUUAUUAGUCAAAUUGUAUGUAUAGCUGUCCCGUUAUGAAAUUAGCUUCCUAAGUAGAAUUCAAAGUGCUUAAUGACUAUCUAAGUUGUAUCAAAAUUUUAACGGAACCUAGAUACUAAAAGAAGUUUUGGAAAUGAUAUUUGGUAAUCAUUCUAGAUGACUGCUAUUUCAAAAUUAAUUAAUGUGUCCUAAAUUUUAGUUUCUCGAUCCUUAACAAAAAAAAAAUCAAUUCAAAUUUUCACGAUAAGUUCAGCGCUGAGCCGACGGAAGUGGGCGUGGAUGUGAGGCUUGAAUCAUAGGUAAUCCCAAGUAGAGGUAACUUCAAGUACCUGGGGUCGGUUAUUCCCUUGGGAGAUCGACAAGGAUAUCACACACCUUAUUAUGAUAGAAUGGAUAAUGUGGAAGUUAACAUCUACAAUCUUGUGUGACAAGAGAGUGCCAUCGAUACUCUAAGGUAAGUUCUAUAAAGAGUACAGGGGCGGAUGCACCUUGAUGUAAGCGAUGCCAUCCGGCAUCGCUUCGCCUGAAAAAUUCAAUAAAUAUAUGUAAAUUAUUAAUAUAUACAAAAAAUAUCUUAUUAAAUAAGCAAAAAUGACGCAACUUUACACAUACUUCUCGCUAGCUCUAAUGGUUAGGCGCUACUCCUUUUUAGGAGAGGCCCUGGGUUCGAACUUGAGCCGCUUCAUGUUGUUUAAGAUUUUCAGCGUUUUUUGCUAAGAAAACUUAUUUUCCUCCAAGUACGUUCCAUGGUAAGUUUUCUUAUUAUUUUUCUCUUUAUAUCUUUUUCUUGGGGGAAGAUGAAGUUGGUCCGAACCCAAAUUAUAAAGUUAACUAAUUAAAGAAUUUUUAAGUGAUUGCUUAGUGUUAUAUAUAGAGAAAAGAUAGUAUUUAUUAUAAUGUCUAGAAAGAAUAUUUUGAAUACAUUUCAAAAAGCCGUAUUAUACUUGAAUUCAUCUUUUUAAUAAGAUUCUAAUAUGUAUUAUUUUUAUGUAUAUAAUAACAGGAAUUAUCUAUUUAUUCAGUUCUAUAAAUGCGACACCGCUUACGAAAAAUCCUGCGUCUGCCCCUAAAAGGGUAGUUAGAGUAUUGGCCUGUUAAUAACUUACAUAUCUACAAGAUAAAAGUAAGAAAUGAGGAUGUUGAUAUGGAUGUGCAGACACACUAAGAUGGAUAAGAUUAGGAAUGAUAAAAUUCGUGAGAAGGUGCAUGUGGCUCCCAUUGAUGACAAGAUGCGGGAAGCGAUGUUCAAAUGGUUUGGAUUUGUUUAGAAGAGAAGCCCAGAUGCCCCAGUAAGGAGGUGUGAGCGACUGAUUGUUAAGGGCACGAGAAGAUGUAAAGGGCGGCCAAAGAUUUAGGGAGAGGUAAUUAGGCAAAAUAUGGCGAGGCUUCAAUUUAAGACUAGUCUGGUAGACUUUUUGUCUAAAAUAGCUAGUGGCACUAUUGUGUCUUACUAUUUCGCUUUUCAGUGCACGACCUAUUUACCAGCUAUCGUCUUUGCUUUGCAUCUUUCUUCUGGAUUUCAUAUUGUUCCUAUUUUUUCUAUGAUUUCUGUGGUAAUAAGAAUAUUAUUUCUUUUUAUCUUUUUUAUUUUUUUGAACGGGGUAUCUUUCAAAAAUAUUUUUUCUACUUUUUUGAGGUAAGAAAAAGAUAUACGUAUACACUAUUUUUUUAUAUCCAUUAAUAAGAUUUUAUUGAAUUAUUAUUAUUAUUAUAUGAUAAAAUAAUUAUUGACUAAUGCCUGUGUAGCAACCCUAAAAUGAUUAUUUGUGUACUUCCCAAAAAAGGUUUACAAGGAGGCCCAAACCUUCAUAUCAACAGCCUCUUGGUAGCGUCGAAGGCGGUGCACAACCACUCCUCCGCAAUAAGAUGGAGGAAGAAAAGGCCGCAGCAUACUACGACGAGCUCACACGGAAAGGAGAAGGCGCCGCAAAGUUCAAGCAAGGUCUAGGCUUUUCUUCAACUUCCAACAACGACGCCGUUCCGUCCCGUGGCUCUGCUCUUGUUUCUUCAUCUUCAUUUCUAAGUAGCUUUGUCAGAGCAUCAAGCCCGUCGAAAACUUCCGAGUUCGAGAAACAAGCUCAACUUCAAUCCAUCAAAAACAAGCUCAAGCUGAAGAAGAAACCUAAAGAUGAUGAAAAUUACGAUAGAAGCCUUUCUUCUAGGGUUUCAUCAAAAAGAAAAAACAGUAGAAGCCGAAGCCCGAGCCGCGAAAGGCAUUCGCGCCGGAGAAGUCGAAGUCCGAGCCGGACUUCAAAGCGCCGGAGCCGGAGUAGAGGUAAAGAGAGGCAUUCCAGACGCAGGAGUCGGAGUCGAAGUCGAAGCCGAGAUGCUUUUAGGUCGAAUCGUCGAUAUAGGUCUAGAAGUAGAAGUAAAAGUAGAGAUAGAGGUAAAUAUAGGGAAAAAGAGAAGAAGAGUAGAAGGAGGUCAAGGAGUGUGUCACCACGGGAUCGAAGAUCGGAGAAUAGCAAUGCUACGGUUGAUUAUAGCAAAUGGAUUGAAGGUUAUGAAAAUAUGGUAAUUUUAUUUCUCAAUUUAUCUUGUGUGAUUAUAAUUUUGUGCUAUUUUUGCUGCUAGUAUAAUGCAUUGUCAACGGCAUCUAUAAGAUGAGGGAAAAAAUGGCAUUUAUAGGAUUAGGCAGUACCUUUUUGUGGAGAAUCACAUUACUGAUCAAUACUGUCAUUAUGGCAGCCAGAUAACGUAAUUUUAAUGUACUGUAGGGUUUUAACAAAUUGAUGUAAUGUGUAAAAUGUGCGGAUUUAUGUGCACGCUUACACGUGGAUCUGAGUUAGUGUAUAAUGAGGUUGCACAGUCUCGCAUUCUAAUUCAACGAUGUAAAGUAUCUCACAGCAAUUGCUGAAAUGGAAGAGUGGAUAGUGUUGGUUGAACAUGUUCCCAUCAUGUUUUAUGCUAUAAGAAUGACUACAUUGCAGAAGUGCAGAACUUCAGAUAGAAUAUGUUUAAGAUUGAUAUACUUACAAAAUUUGCUGUAACUAAAGAAACAAGGAAUCUUCUGGUUAUUGAGCACAUAAAACAGUCAAAUUUAUUGAGUAAGAGAUUUUACCAAUGCUCCCAUAUCCGUAUAUUUCCUCUAACUAUUCAUCAGAGAUUUCAAAUCUGCGAUAAUGGACUGUAAUGCACCUAUAUGACUACCAAGUUGAUGCAACUCAUUUCUUGGAUUGCUAGGCUGAAGUUUCAUUAUUGGACUCUGAUAUUCUAUCCUCUAAGAUCUUCAAAUACUUUUGUUAUUUGUUAUUGAGGCUGACUUUAUUUAUUUGUUUAUUUAAUUUUUUGCUGCUGCGUUGAACAGACUCCAGCUGAAAGAGUCAAAGCCAAAAUGAAACUUCAGCUUUCAGAAACUGGUAUUUUACAAUUUCUGUUUCUGCUCUUGUUGUCUAUGAAAUUGUUACUAAUUGUUAGAAAUUUCUUCAAAUUGUGGAUGCCUAAUAUGUAAGUUGGCUCUUUGAUGUACCAUACAAUAGAUACUAAUUAUGUGUAUGUUGCCUUAUAUUUAAAAAAAGUGUACUGGUUCGUGAGAUAUUACCUAAUUCUGCUGAUAAUUAUUGGGCCAUAACUCCUCCUAUAAAGAAUGGUAAUAAAUGGGUUCCUGAAAGGAGAAUCUGAGCUUGCCAUCAGUACAUGUAAGAGAUGACAAAAGAAGUAUGUCAUAGAGCAUAUUGUUGCUUAUACAUUUAUGCAAAGUGGCUAUUUCCUAAGUUUUUGCUUUUCUUCUACAUUUCUGUUUCUUACUAGCUAUUCUACAAUCUCAAUACAAAUGUGGAAGAGAUUGUAGUUUGUAACUCACUUAACUCAAUAUGGGUAUGGAUAUAAUUGACAUAUUGUAUUCUUUUGUAACCCUUUGACAGCUCGAAAAGAUGAAACAAAAGGCAUGGGCUCUGGAUGGGAGCGUUUCGACUUCGACAAGGAUGCCCCCUUGGAUGAAGAGGAGAUUGAAGGUAAGCUAUUUGGCUGCUAGUGCUUACUUAUGGACUUUGUCAAAGUGAAUCCUUUUCUAUAUCACUUGUUGUAUGAUUGUUAUUCUCGCGGCAAUAGGGAAGCAUUAAUAUGGUAGUAGGAUGAACUGUACUAAAAUCAGGUUCCAGGCUUCUUGGCCUGCUCUAGGAAAGGCUGUAUUUCGAUACUGUUCCUUUAUUUACGAACUAGUGGUGAAUUUGCAAGUUAUGUAUAUACUUAUUUGUCUGGUUACUUGUAACAUGCUAGAAAUCCUCAACUUAAUGGUGAUUUAAGGGAUAUAGCGUUUCCAAUAUAUCAGCAGUCAAUGUGGAUGUAAAGAUGCCACGCUAAAACAACAUUUAGGAACUCCAACAAAGAUGUUUGACAGUAAAAGUUUGGAAAAGGGAGUACUGUUAGGUUAUCCCUGCUUGUGAAGGAUUUGUUUUCAUUUCAUCUAAAAUGAAACUCAUAAUUUGCCUAAAAUGUGCGGACCUUUCUCAAUAAAACAUCUUAAUUUGGAUGAGGUCAGUCCAAAUAAAGCAAAUGUACUAUACCUUAUACAUAUCACGUGGAGAUAUGGAUGUGAUGUCUGGUUUGUUUUCGCGAAGCUGCUUUAUUGCAGCUAUUACAUGAUUAUUUGUGAUGUUUGCGCGAAACUAAGAUGACUUCCUAACAGGGGCAGCAUAAUGAUUUUUUUAUUUGUUUCCUGUGGGCCGGUGGGAACCUUCCUUCUUGCUUAUAUCAAUGUUUAUGUAGACAGAAAGGUUCCUUCCUAUUUGCUGAUACUGAUAAACGCUGUUGACUGCUUCAGCUGCAGAAGAUGAUGCUGCUUUAGUCAACCACAUCGGCAAAAGCUUUCGGUUUUCUGCGGUGGAGGUAUGUACACUUUUGGUUUGUGUUAUCAUUUCCUUGUCAUAACAACAUGAUGCAGAUGGGCUCUGGUCAUGUCAAAGGGAGAGCAAACUGAUGUUUGUUCUGUUGUAAAAUUUUGUUGAUUUGAAGACUAGGAGGGAGGAACAAAUCAAGGCUGCUCAUGAUGAGGCUAUCUUUGGAGUUCGCUCACUUCUGCCACUUCCACCUUCCACCGAAACUGAUUAUGAAGCAGAAAAGGAUAAUGGAAAAAAGGACAUCUCUGAAACUGCUUCUGCCACAAGUCUCAUCAGCGGGCAGGUGAUAUCUUAAAUCUUGACAUUGCAGUUUGUUGCUCAUUAUUACAUGGUUAGGUUUUUGCUUUUUAUCUUGAUUUUUUCUCCCAUUGUGCUUACUCAUGCUCGUGAUAUAUGAAUUUAGGCACUUGCAAUGCAACAAGGUUCUUGGCGUGAUCGUGCACGUAGAUAAUGAAUUCGACGAAUGCUUGGAAGAUUUGUUAAAACAAAGUGACAUGAUCAUGCUAAUACUUAAUUGAUGACUUGAUGCCAGGAGGGGUUUUGUUUUUGGGCUCUUUUUACAUUGGUUGUCGCCGCCUGUUGCUUUUAGAGAAAGCAAGUCCUCGUUUUAAACCAGGCAAAUUGGGAUGGAGAAAGAUAUCUAUAGAAUUGGCUUUUCAGCUUUAAUAUCCAUAGUAGGUACCUGUGUCUGUUCUAAGUUUCGUAUGGAGAAACUAGCCUGUAUAGCUUAGAGCAAGAAAUUCUGUAAAUAUUUCUUUGGUCUUCUCAACUUUGAGCUCAGCCCUCGUCUCUUGUUGUAUGUGGAAAGUCAGCAUACUGCAUUGGCAAGAUUCAUCUAUCUAUAAGUCAAUUGGUUAUGUAAGCAUGUCAUUAUUUUGAGAAUGCACGGGAAAAAAAUUUAUUAUUGGUAUUUUAUUUUAUUAUAAUACGGUGAGCUCUAUUUAUAUAGUAUAUAUCAUACUCAUAUUCUAUGUGGGACUAUGACUAAUUUUAGUGCACACAAAUCAUAAGUAUUGACUUUGUUACAUAUAUAACUAGUACGAGGAUCAGUAAAGGACUCGAUAAUAAUAUUUGCAAGUUGAUCAUUGACUUAACAAAUUUUGUAGUAUGAUGAAGUGGGUCUCAAUGUGUUUAGUUCUCUUAUGGUAUCUUGAUUCUUAUACAAAUUCCAUCUUGCUGACCUUACCAAAUUUUAAGCAAAUGUUUGAUCCAAAUUAGUUCAUAUGUUGCCACAAUCAUUGCUCGAUAUUAUGCUUCUACACUAGGUCGAGUAAUCACAUUUUGUUUCUUGCUUUUUGAAGACGCUAAAUUACCUCUUAUUAAAAUACAAUAUCCAGACGUAGAAUGUCUCUCGGAAGGUGAUCUUAUCCGAUCAACAUAUGAGUACCCAACAAUUUGCUCAUGACCUCGUUUUUCAAACAAUAAUAUUUUACAUGUAGCUGAUUUUAUAUUUCCAAUAAUGCAGACAACUACAUUUUAAUGACUAUCACAGUGAGAUCCAGGAAUUGAUUUACCACACCACAGGAAAGAAAAUUGUCACGUCUAAUCAUUGUAAGAUAAUUUAAUUUACCAACUAGAGGCUAAUAUCUUCUAGGAUCUCUAAGCGCCCCCCNNNNNNNNNNNNNNNNNNNNNNNNNNNNNNNNNNNNNNNNNNNNNNNNNNNNNNNNNNNNNNNNNNNNNNNNNNNNNNNNNNNNNNNNNNNNNNNNNNNNNNNNNNNNNNNNNNNNNNNNNNNNNNNNNNNNNNNNNNNNNNNNNNNNNNNNNNNNNNNNNNNNNNNNNNNNNNNNNNNNNNNNNNNNNNNNNNNNNNNNNNNNNNNNNNNNNNNNNNNNNNNNNNNNNNNNNNNNNNNNNNNNNNNNNNNNNNNNNNNNNNNNNNNNNNNNNNNNNNNNNNNNNNNNNNNNNNNNNNNNNNNNNNNNNNNNNNNNNNNNNNNNNNNNNNNNNNNNNNNNNNNNNNNNNNNNNNNNNNNNNNNNNNNNNNNNNNNNNNNNNNNNNNNNNNNNNNNNNNNNNNNNNNNNNNNNNNNNNNNNNNNNNNNNNNNNNNNNNNNNNNNNNNNNNNNNNNNNNNNNNNNNNNNNNNNNNNNNNNNNNNNNNNNNNNNNNNNNNCCCCCUUUCCUGGUAGAAUUUAGUAUUCGGAUCCCUAAGAGUGUUAAUAGGUCUAGAGUCUGUCAUUCCUGCCUCCUCAAGAAUGUCUUAGGCAUACUUCCGUUGUGAGAUUACAUUAUCUGAGCUAGAUUGAGCGACAUCAAUACCUAAAAAAUACUUUAAUCUGCCUAGAUCCUUAGUCAUGCCAAACUCUAGAAUAAAUUUGUUGAACUUACCAAACCAAGCUCGAUGAGACUGCUUUAGACCAUAGUGGGACCGACAUAACCGACAUACAAGGCCACUAGACUCCUCUAAGCAACAAAACUAGAUGGUUGCUCCAUGUAAACCUCAUCCUCAUGGUUAUCGUAAAGAAAAACAUUCUUAAUAUCAACUUGAUAGAGAGGCCAAUGGUGAACAGUAGCAAUGGAUAGAAAAAGGUAGAUUGAUGCUAUUUAUCCAUGAGAGAGAAAGUAUCACUAUAAUCCAGCCCAAAUAUUUGAAUAUGCCCUUCAACACCAAGACGAGCCUUAAAUCGAUCAACCUGGCCAUCUAGAUCAACUUUGACUACAUACACCUAAAGACAACCAACUGCCGAUUUAUCCGAAGGAAGAGGAACAAGCUCUUAAGCACCACUCGUAUGUAAAGCAGACAUCUCGUCAAUCAUAACAUGUCACCACCCUGGAUGAGAUGUCUUUCAUCUGUACACUAAGGGAUUGAAAGAGAGGACAAAGAUCAUAUAAAUGCAUAUUGAUGUGAUGACUAAACCGUAUAAUGGGAAUUAGGAUUGAAUGUGGACCGUAUACCUUUCCGUGAUGCAAUCGAUUGACUAAGAGGGGAGAAGUUUGUAAUAUUAGAAGGGUCAGUUGCAGGAUGUGAAUCAUCUGGACCUGAUGCUAGGUGCGGACGAUGUUGAUAAGUCAGGAGCGGUAGAGCUGUAGAAAGUUAAACUAGACUAAGUGGUGGAACAUGAGUUAUAGGUGGUGGAGCUGCAACUGAAGUUGUAGGUGGUGAAGCUAGAGUUAUAGAGGAAGAUGAAUAGGAGAUAGUGACUAAAUCUCUAGAAGAUAGAACUGGUAACACCUCCAAAAUAUCUAAGUGCUUACCUGAGCCUUUGAAGUAUGAUUGUGUUUCAAAGAAGGUAACAUCAGCGGACAUAAAGUACCGCCGGAAGUCAGGAGAAUAAUAUCUAUAUCCCUUUUGCGUUUUCGAGUAGCCUAAAAAUACGCACUUAAAAGUAUGAGGAGCUAACUUAUCUUUUCCUGAAAUAAGGUUAUGAACAAAACACGUGCUCCCAAAGACAUGAGGUGGAAGAAAUAACCAAGGUAAGCAGAAAAACAUGAUACAGAAUGAAACUUGAUUCUGGAUAGCUGAAGAUGACAUACGAUUAAUAAGAUAACAAGAUGUAAGAAUUGCAUCUCCAAAAAAUGCAAUGGAAUAUGAGAUUGUAUGAGUAGGAUACAAGUAGUUUCAAUAAGAUGUUUAUUUUUUCUUUUAGCUAACCCAUUUUGUGAGAUGUGUACGAAUAAGAUAUUUGAUAAUCCCAUGAGAGUUCAUAAACUACUGAAAUGGGAAAGACAAAUACUCUAGGACAUUAUCACUACAAAAUGUGUGGAUAGAAACCCCAAAUUAAUUUUAAAUUUCAGCGUGGAAGGUCUAAAAAAUAGAAAAUAACUCAAAUAAAUUUUUUUAUCAAAAAUAUCCAAGUGCACCUGGAGUAACUAUCAAUGAAACUAAUAAAAUAGCGAAAUCUUAAGGUAUAACUGACCCGACUAGGACCCUCAAACAUCUGAAUGGGCUAAAGUAAAAGGUAAAUCUACUCGAUUAUCAAGACGCCGAGGAAAAUGAGAGUAGGUAUGCUUACCGAGCUAACAUGAGUCACACUCUAGAAUGGACAAAUAAGAUAAAUCAUGUUCCAUUUUAUGAAGUUUUGACAAAUUGGGAUGUCUCAACCGUUUAUAUAAUAAAUCUUGUGAAUCACUAAGAAGGCAAGUUGUUGAAGGAAGACAAGAUGUGAGUCGAUGUGAUUUUGCAAGGAUAAGGUAAUAAAGUCCAUCCGAUUCACGCCUAGUACCAAUGAUGUGCCAUGUACUGCGUUCCAAUAUAAGAACAAGGUCAUCAAGAAACAAAAUAGAGCAUUUAAGUGAUUUGGCAAAGCGACUAAUAACUAUGAGAUUAAAAGGAAUACCGAGAACAUAAAAAAUUAAAUCUAAAGGUAAGAACGGAAAUGGACUUGCUUGACCUAUUCCAUUUGCCAUGAUUUGAGACCCCUUGACCUUUAUGAUUGGUGGAAGAGAUUAAGAACAUGAAAUAAUAGUGAAAGGAGAUUUCUUACCAGAAAUAUGGUAAGAAUCACCCUAAUCAAUGAGUCAAGACUCAAUGUUGAAGAUUGGGAGACAUAAGACACGCUACUAUUUGUGGAAGCUAUCUCUGAAAAUGUCUGUUUACAUAUUUUGUACUGAAGGAACUCAAUAUAAUCCGGUAAAGAAACCAUCUAGAUUGGGUUCAUACAUUGGAUUGAAUAGAUUGAGAGCCAAAGGCUUCUGAUAUAAGUGCCAUUAUAAUGUUUAUGCGGGGAAAAGUAGAGAUUUUCUGUGAAUUACUGUUCACACCGAAAAAUAUAAAAGUGGUUAGAAUUUGAUUUAAAUUGGAUGGAUAGACUCGGAAUUGCAAUACGAUAACACUAUCCAACAACAUUUCUUCAAAUUUUGGCUAGAAUAGACAGCAGGUGCCGGCGUGUAGGGCAAUGCGCCGCCAGAGGCAGAUGGGGGCGCGUCAGUGGGUCUUUUCAGGAGGAUUUUCGGGGGUUUGGCCAGCUCUCUCUUGGAAAUCUUGUGUGGCGUUGGAUUUCACACAACACUGAUAAUUAGUGACUUUGACGCAAACAGUCACUUAGAUCGCCGAAAAAUCGCAUUGUGACUGAGUUCUUUUUUCUCGUAUGUCACUGGAAUGACGCUCAACGAUUUUUUAUCACCGAUGCUCUAUACCAUGUGAGAAUGUACAGGAAAAAAUUUAUUAUUAAUAUUCUAUCUAAUUAUAAUACACUGAGCCCUAUUUAUACAAGUCAUAUCAUACUCCUAUUUUAAGUGAGACUCGGACUAAUUCAUAUUAUGUACAUAGGAAUCUAACAAAUAUAAUGUUGACAACGUUCUUCAUCGAGAAUCAGAUUUAUCUAACAAAAGUUCGAGCCAUACUGGAUGAGUAGUGGAUUGCUUAGUAAAACAUAGUCAGGUUUCUUCCUUGAAGAAUGCUGUAACCCUUUAUUACUUAUGGGCUUGCACUGGAUAAUCAAUAAGUUCGUUCCUUCGUUCACUUUGUUCCGCGCAUGUCAACCAUGUAUGCAGUGAUACAGUAACUCGUUUUAAUUGGCAAUACGUAAAGUUAGAGUUCUUGAUUGGCAAAAACACUAGAUGCCUUUAUUAAGUAUUUUUAUGGAUGAAUUUGGGUCACGCCAUUUGGUGGUAUUCGCCUUCGUUUUUCUGUGAUCUCUUCCUUUUUUGGAAAGUUUCCGGUCUAGUCUUGAAAUGGAUUUAAACAAGUCGAUGGAUAGCUAGAAAAAAUCAUUCUGCAACUCCAAGAACAAGAUAAACUUGUUUAUACUGCUCCAUUCUAUCUUUUAAGGCAUCUGUGUUCUUUUCCUCGGUUAAUUUGUUUCAAAUUGCUUGGUUCAUCAGAUGAUUAGUUCAUAUUAAACUGAUGAUAAGUGUCUUCUUUUUAUAAAAUUUAUGUAUAAAGAUCUGUCUUUAGCUCAAGUCACUUUAUAUCAGUUUAUCAUUGAAUAGAAAUAUCCUAUGGCCAGAGUUGGUCAUGCGGCAACAGCAACAAGUGAGGUGUGGGAAGAGUAAUGUGUACAUAGACCUUACCCUAGCUUGAAGAUAGAGAGGUUUUUGAUAGACACUUGCUCAAAAAGAUGAAAAGAACGCAGUAGCAAAAACAAUAAGAAAAAUGAAGGAACAACAUGUAAUAAUAGAAAUCUACUAUUAAUAGAAUACAAGACUAACACUAAUGUUCCUGGUAUGGGAAAGAAACACUUUCGACUACCUACUAGCCUUCUACCUUAAUUUUCAACCUCCAUACCUUCUUGUCAAGGGUCAUGCCCUCGGUAAGUUUAAUGAUACCUUUUGCUGUUCAACGUGACCUCCCCAAGCUUUUCAGCGAGUUAUUGACAAGCAUGAACACACUCUCCAGUAACCUUACAAUACUGCAAAGAGAGAAGAAACUUAGGGUGGAAAAUGCUCAACAUCCAUUUCAUAUCUUAUUCCUCUGAGUAGGCUCUUUGCUGUUUCCUUCUCCUGCAUCAAUAAACAAAAUAGAGCGAAGGAAGCAGCUAAAAAGCUUGUUUACAUGAACUAUACAUAGGCAAAUAUUUUAACUUAAACACUGAGUUAUUGACUCUUAGUCUAAUUAGAAACAAAUAUGAACUUACUGGGCCAGAGUAAUCAAGAAGGCGGGUGCAAUAAACCUCUGCUUCUUCAAAUCUCUUUUGAGUCUUAUAGUAUCUAGCAAGGAACAUUAAGGCUUCAACCAUGUUUGGACCUUCUCGUUCUUCAGCUUCCAUCCUUUCCAAAUCCUUCUUGUAGUAGAAUGCUGCUUCAUCAGAACGGUCAAGUUCAGCAUGCAGUUUUGCCAGCUGGUGAAGAGCAAUAGCUUCUCUAUCAUUACAAUUUGCAGCCCUUCUGUAGCAUUUGAUUGCUUCUUCAAGCAUAUGAAGCUGUUCUGUCUCAUAGCAUUGGGCCAUUGCAAUCCAUAACCGAGAAUCAUUAGGCUGCAAGAACACUGACUUCUUAAAGUAAUUAAGGGCAUAAUAGGGCAUUCCCAUCAUCUCAUAUGCUUGCCCUAACCCAUACCAGGCUCGAUAAUCACAUGGGUUUAUGUCCACAGCUCGCCUAUAGGCAUCAACUGCUGCUGGAGUGUUUUUCAUCUCGACAUAUUGCCCAUACCAGGCUCGAUAAUCACAUGGGUUUAUGUCCACAGCCCGCCUAUAGGCAUCAACUGCUGCCGGAGUGUUUUUCAUCUCAACAUACUCAUGACCCAUAAGUGUCCAAGCUGACAAAUAAUUUUUGUUUAAUUUGAGGGCCCUCCGAAAAUACAUGACCGACUUCUCAUGCUGCCCCUUCAAACUGUAAUAGUUCCCGACAAUGCAACAAGACUCUGGCCUAANNNNNNNNNNNNNNNNNNNNNNNNNNNNNNNNNNNNNNNNNNNNNNNNNNNNNNNNNNNNNNNNNNNNNNNNNNNNNNNNNNNNNNNNNNNNNNNNNNNNNNNNNNNNNNNNNNNNNNNNNNNNNNNNNNNNNNNNNNNNNNNNNNNNNNNNNNNNNNNNNNNNNNNNNNNNNNNNNNNNNNNNNNNNNNNNNNNNNNNNNNNNNNNNNNNNNNNNNNNNNNNNNNNNNNNNNNNNNNNNNNNNNNNNNNNNNNNNNNNNNNNNNNNNNNNNNNNNNNNNNNNNNNNUAUCUCUGUGUGCGAGAUAACUUAAGGCUGAACAACAUUCCUUGGCAUAAAGCACAUUGGAAUACAUAUCCAUGUCUUCAAUCCUGUAAGGGUCAUUUCUUAGAAGUUCUUCAAAUAUAACUUCCACUUGUUCAAAUUCUCUCAGGCUGUACUGAGCUUUAGCGAUUUGGGCCUGGACAUAAUUGCUAAAGCUGAAAGUUCCUUGCAAGUGCUCAUAUUUUGCCAAUGAUUCAUUAUGCAAACGGAGUUCUUGGUACGCACUGGCUAGGAAGAAGUCUUUCAUCCAGUGGUUAUCAAGAUUCAGACUCUUCAAUGUCUCAAUUGUAGUGCACAAUGACUGCAAUUCAGACCAAGCACUCCAGUUCCAAGGAUAACUAUUUACUGACUCGACAAGAACUGACCGAGCAAGAUUGUCACUGCCUUUCUGCUUAAGAACAAGUCCGUACAAGUAAAGACAGAAGGAGUCUAUUGUUCCAUUUUUGCGAAGUGCAGACAACUCUCGCUCAAGAGAAACCAGCUCCUUGUUCACAACAUCACUUUUGCCUAAGGGUCCCUCAAGUUCAAUUAUCUCCUCUUCUUUUCGCUUUUCCCCGGCCUUCAGGAAGAAGCAAGAAGCAGAAUAAGUAUCAACUAUCAAGGUUCAUCGGGUAAUUUCAUGAUAAAAAGAAAUGGAAUAACGCUACUUCAGGUUGUAUUCUUUUCAUAUAUCAGUAGAAGUUUGACAACAUCUGAGAACCAGACUAAGAUGAGAUUUAUUCAAACUGUGGCACUAUCAUUCUCAAAGCAAAACACAAUAAGCAAUCGGCAAACCAUCAAAGGUCUCCAUCUUAGAAUUGAACAUAGAUAAAGAUUUGAUACCUACUCAUCCUUAUCUCUUUUCUAAUUUACUAGCUCAAAAACUUGAUUAAGGAGAAGAAGAUUGAAAAAGAGAAAACUGGAGUGCACUACCUUUCCUCCCUUUGACCAUUUUCUGUUACCAGUUGGGUUAGGAAUGGAGAUUAAGUAAAGGUGGCUAAGGGCUAUUACAUUUGUAUUGGUCAGGAUUUGCCUAAAAUAGCUCCUUGUGCUUCUAUUUUACGAAACUUUGCCAAAGAUUGGACAUUCAGGAGUUAGUUUGAGUCACUAUAUAGUUAACACUAGAUUAUUACUACUGAUUAUUUUUACAACUGCUUACACUGGUUUAUUCUUGAAUCCAUGAGGAGGUUAAUCAUUUGGAAUAAGGAAUAAACAAAAGUAAACCAAAACAUACAGAUGGGAGGAGUGUCAACAUAACUAAAAUAUAUUCAAAUAUAUUUCUGGUCCAACAGCAGCACCCAUUGGGCAAGCUAAGAGAUAAAAGAAAAGAGACAAACACCAUUAAACAUUUCAUAGUUUGAUGUGAAUUACAAGUCUGGUAGAGAUACUUAGACCCAAAUCAGCAAACUUUCGGCAGUUACACAGAAUGAUAAGAUGCUAGACUUCAGAUAUGUGACUUAGACACAAAAUCGAAGGAAAGCUGUUUAAAAACGUGAAAGUACAGGAAGCUACAGAAGACCAUUCACCCUCUGUCCUCCAGCUUGGUGAGAGGUAAGCCAAAGAAACAAGCAAAAGAGAAAGAGUCGUAUAUAGCCUCCAAAUGCACUAGUAAGCCAACAUGUAGCAAGAUGAAGGCUCCCAAAAGCCAAGCAAUCUUUUCUUGAAAAAAUGAAGAGAUAACACACAAAGAAUAGAGCUUUCUAUAUGGUGGAUUUCUUUCUUCUUUAGAGCCAUUCAAUAUAGAAACAGAAAUGUCAACUUUCCGUUAAAAGAAAGCUCUACCCGCAUAUAGUAUCAGAAUGUUCUACGACUUUUAUACUUCUCUAUUGGACCUUUCCCUUCCUUCUUCCUUGGAGACUAAAUUAAAUGGCAGAUUGACAUACUACCCCAUCAAACACACAUGAAAAGUAUUCUAGAGUUUAUGCUGAUGCGAGUGAAAGGUCAAAGAUAUGAAAUACAGGGAGAGAAGACCUUACAUACAUUUAAUUAUAGAGUGAAACUAUCUUGAAGGAGACUGCAGGAUUCAAAAUCUUGGAACAUUAGUAAGACGAAAAGAUAUUAGUUUCUCACUAUCAUUAAGAUAAUUAGGAAUGAUGAUGUUCGGGAGAAGGUGCACGCGGCUCCCAUUGAUGACAAGAUGUGGGAAGCGAGGCUAAAAUAGUUUGGGCAUGUUCAGAGGAGAAGUUUUUCCGGAUGCUCCGGUAAAAAGGUGUGAGCGACUGGUUGUGGAGGGCACGAGAAGAGGUAGAGUGCGGCCUAAGAAGUACUGGGGAGAGGUGAUCAGGCACAAUAUGGCAAGGCUUCAAAUUUUCGAGGAUAUGACACUUGAUAGGAAGAUGUAGAGGUCGAGUAUUAGGGUUGUAGGUUAGUAGAUAGUUGAGUCUUGCCUUACUUCGUGCCAUUAUAAGACUAGUCUAGUAAGGUUUUUGUCUAAGAUAGCUACUGGCAAUGUUGUGUCUUACUAUUUCAACUUUUAGUGCAGGACCUAUUUACUAACUAUCACUUUUGUUUUUUUCUGGAUUUCAUGUUGUUCUUAUUCUUCCUAUGAUUUAUGUGGUGAUACUAAUAUUGUCUCCUUGUGUCUUUUUGUUUUCUUGAGUCGAUGGUCUUUCGUAAACACCCUUCUCCACUAUUUCGGAGUAGGGGUAAGGUCUGCGUACACACUACCCUCCCCAGACCCCAUUAGUGGUAUUUUACUGGGUUGCUGUUGUUGUUGUAUCAUUGAGAUAAUUAGUUCAUAACCCGUCUAGACACUAUCUGAAACUGCAGCUUCUGUUAUUCAUAUAAUGAAUGACUCUAGAAAAAAAGCGAGUGUUAAAGGCUUCAAUAAUGAGAGACACCACUUUAUUUGAGAGUACCAAGUGAAGAAAAUCAUUGUUGGUUCCGAAGUUAUUUUCUUUACUUCACCUUAGUAAUUAAACACAAACAUAGGAGAGUUAGGCACAUCCACAUGCAUAUAAUACCUAGAGAAUUCAUGAGACAAAAGAGGACACAAGAAUCCAGUGAUUGACAAUAAAUUUUGGAUCUCUGAUACCCUAUUCUUUCUAAGGUCCCUUUAACACCUCAGAAAUGCAAUGUAUUCUCAAAUAGUGCAAAUCAUAAUUAGGUAACAACACAGGAGCAUUUCCUAGCCAUAACUUCUCCUUGACCAUCCAUUUACCAAUCAAUGUAAAUUAUACAGGAUGCGUUCUCCAAAAGGCAACUACUUUAAAAGCGAAAUUCUCCAAGCUUUAAAUGACAUAACUGUCAUUGGUUUUGUUAACGCCACUUCUUGACUUGACUCUCAAAAUUUCCUUAGCUGAAAUUUGACCAGUUUAGAGUAAUAAAUUUGAACGCACUUCAAUUGCCAUUACUAUUUCAUAUUCACCAAUUAAAAAUUUUAUCUCUUUUAUUCAAGUAACAGCAUACUCUUCAAUGUUAAGCUAGUGCCUUAUAAUGGGAAAACUCUUAACAGCUAGUCCAAUAUCUGAUUGACACUCUAACUGAUCAACUCACCAAUCAACCAGCUACGCCUCAAUCUGAACUAGUUGAAAUCAGCUAUAUAAAUUCUCCUUUUAUUAAAACUAAACUAUUUUAGGCUUGUACAAGCCACACUCUCUUUCUUUAUUCAAGCUUGGGACCGAUUUUGCUUCACGGAAUUCAGAUUACACAAAAUUAGCAGAUCUAUCCUCUUUGUUAUAAUAAUGAAAAGGUGGGUGGACGGAGAGACCAAAAUUGAGCAGAAAAAGAUAGAUUGAUACUCUCUCAGUUCCGACUUAGAUGAUGGAAUUUCCUUUUUAGUAUGUGCAAAAAAAAAAUGACACCUUUUACAUUUUUAAACAAUUUAAAUUUAAACUUCUCAUUGAUUUAUAGCAAACAAAUAUCUAUAGGUUAUUUUAGACCACAAGUACAAAAGUCAUUCUUUGUUAGAUUCUGUGCCUAAUGGAACACCAUCACAUAAAACUGGGACGGAGGGAGUAAGAGGGUCAGAUGAACAAACCAAGUAAAGAGCAUAACACCGCAAGAAGAUAGCUUUUUUGCUAGUCUGGUCGCGAAGCACGUGAGUUGCACGCCGGUACUCGCGACAAUCAAAGUAGGACUUAGCAAGCAGGUAAAAGUCACUGUCAAUGGCGGCGUCGCUGCCAUCAUCCUCCAACGCCACGGGUGGGGUCGACACAUAAGAUGUACCGGCCACCGGUGUGGAACUGAAAGAAGCAGCAGGUUCUGUGGCUGUACGGAACCGGCGACGAAUGCUGGAGCUGCCACGCUGGAAUCUAGUAUGUGAUGGCGUGUACUUAGUUGGGUCUUGCUCUAUUCCCACUAACUGCUCUGCUGCCCUGUUUAGUAAACCAAUUUUCCAUCAGAAAUAAUUAUACAUACCUCAGUGAGAAAAUUAGGGUUUAGGGGAUACCAUUUGGAGGCAAAGUAGAGACAACGGUCGUUGAGCUGACGGACAGCGGCUCGGAGCUCGUUUCUACAGUUUUCUUUGAUACCCAUUUGAUGAGAAAAUUUUCUUGUAAUUCUGAAAUUCUACAUACAAAAUUUGAGGGGGCGGUAAAAGUGGGGGCGAGGGUAAUGUAACAAGCCAAUUGGUGUAACAGAAAGAUUACUUCGCCCGGAUCUACACCGGUUUAGUAGGAGAGCCGGACGACGACGAGAUUGCCGGAGCGCCGGUUGACGGCGAGGUCGGGCAGUUUUCUUUGAAACCCAUUUGAUGUAAAAGUUUCUUGUAAUUCUGAAAUUUUACAUACAAAAUUUGAGGGGGCGGUAAAAGUGGGGGAGAGGGUAAUGGAACAAGCCAAUUGGUGUAACAGAAAGAAUACUUCGUCGGGAUCUACACCGGUUAAGUAGGAGAGCCGGACGACGACAGAUUGCCGGAGCGCCGGUCGAUGGCGAGGUCGGGAAAGGAAUGGGCUGCGCGGGUUGGAGGCUUUUUGAAAACCAAUGUACUACUGCGAGGUGUUUAGCCUAAUCGUAUGAUCGUGUUUGAUUGAACAAAAUGAAAGGGAGCAUUAUUUCUAAAAUUGGCGGUUUAUAAAUUAUAAAAAUGUUAUAAAUAGAACUCUAUUUAAGGUGAAUGUCUAUAUUUAGAGAGAUUCUAGGGU
rnacentral:lncRNA from 1 species